rfam:Triticum aestivum genome assembly, contig: Triticum_aestivum_CS42_TGACv1_scaffold_200082_3AL
AUUCUACUCCCUCCGUUGCACAAUACAUGCCUUCUAUUUGUCAAAAUAUAUAUGUAUCUAGACAUGUUUUAGUAUAUAGGUACAUCCAUUUUUGGACAAAUGGAAGUCAAGUAUUUUGGAACGGAGGGAAUAAACA